rnacentral:snRNA from 1 species
UUGCUUUGGUAGUUAAUGUAUUAAAACUGAAACAAUACAGAGAAGAUUAGCAUAGCCCUUGUGCGAAAAUAACACAUUCAUAAAGCAUUUCAUAUUUUC